rnacentral:rRNA from 1 species
UACGUAGGGUGCAAGCGUUAUCCGGAAUCAUUGGGUUUAAAGGGUCCGUAGGCGGUUUGGUAAGUCAGUGGUGAAAGCCCAUCGCUCAACGGUGGAACGGCCAUUGAUACUGCCAGACUUGAAUUAUUAGGAAGUAACUAGAAUGAUGUAGUGUAGCGGUGAAAUGCUUAGAGAUUACAUGGAAUACCAAUUGCGAAGGCAGGUUACUACUAAUUGGAUUGACGCUGAUGGACGAAAGCGUGGGUAGCGAACAGG